rnacentral:rRNA from 1 species
UACGUAGGCAGCGAGCGUUGUUCGGAGUUACUGGGCGUAAAGGGUGUGUAGGCGGUUGUUUAAGUUUGGUGUGAAAUCUCCCGGCUCAACUGGGAGGGUGCGCCGAAUACUGAAUGACUUGGAGUGCGGGAGAGGAGAGUGGAAUUCCUGGUGUAGCGGUGAAAUGCGUAGAUAUCAGGAGGAACACCAGUGGCGAAGGCGACACGCUGGGCCGUACCUGACACUGAUGCGCGACAGCAUGGGGAGCAAACGGG